GGAGGCUGGUUCCAGCCUCACCUUGGCAGGUGCCAGCAGCGACAGUCAUUGACGUCUUCUGAGCUCAGUUUCUGCCGUUUCUGCAUCUGCAAAAUGUUAGCAGUAAUCCCCGCCUGGCUGCCCUGCCCCUAACUGGAAGCCAGGAACACUGGAGUUCCUGAAUGCCCGUGGUGUGGCCGGCCCUGCGCUGGACACCUCGGGAUGAGGAUGUGGACGUGCCCAUGGUCUGCCUUUGGGAUGCUGUGGAAGGCGUCUUCCUCAUUCACGUGCACCGCGGUCUCCCCAGCACACACCUGCCAGUUUGAAUUUCAACUGGAACCUGAGGCCGGAAAAGGACGAGCGUUUCCUGUUGAAGAGAGCGCCGUCUUCUGAGACCCUGUCCUCCGAUCUUUCGGGAAGGUGACUCUGAUCAAGUUGCUGGCCCGUGCCAUGCCCUCUCCGGCUGGUUUCUGUCCUCUGGGAGAGAUGAACGCUCAGCGGGGCCUCCCCUGUCCAGUGCUCUGGCAGAGGAGGGGCCGUCUGUGGCCAGGGAAGAUCUCGGGGAGGGGAUGCUGGCCGGCCUCAG